GUAAGGAAUAUUGGUCAAUGGUGGGAACACUGAACCAGCCAUCCCGCGUGCAGGACGAAGGCCCUCUGGGUUGUAAACUGCUUUUACCAGGAAAGAAACGAGUGGAUUCAUCUGCUCCUGACGGUACCUGGGGAAUAAGCACCGGCUAACUCCGUGCCAGCAGCCGCGGUAAUACGGAGGGUGCAAGCGUUAUCCGGAAUCACUGGGUUUAAAGGGUGCGUAGGCGGCUUGAUAAGUCAGGGGUGAAAGCUCACCGCUCAACGGUGGAACUGCCCUUGAUACUGUCAGGCUCGAAUUGGGUUGAGGCAGGCGGAAUGUGGCAUGUAGCGGUGAAAUGCUUAGAUAUGCCAUAGAACACCGAUUGCGAAGGCAGCCUGCCAAGCCUUGAUUGACGCUGAGGCACGAAAGCGUGGGGAGCGAACAGGAUUAGAAACCCUAGUAGUCC
rnacentral:rRNA from 1 species